CACGUAGGGGGCGAGCGUUGUCCGGAUUCAUUGGGCGUAAAGAGCUCGUAGGCGGCUCAGCAAGUCGGGUGUGAAACCUCCAGGCUCAACCUGGAGACGCCACUCGAUACUGCUGUGGCUAGAGUCCAGUAGGGGAGCGUGGAAUUCCUGGUGUAGCGGUGAAAUGCGUAGAUAUCUGGAGGAAUACCGGUGGCGAAGGCGGCAUCCUGGACCGACAUUGACGCUGAGGAGCGAAAGCCAGGGGAGCAAACGGG
rnacentral:rRNA from 1 species